UGAGCAAUCUGCCCUUCUCAUCGGAAUAAGCGUUGGAAACGACGUCUAAUGCCGAAUACGACCUCCUUUCGCAUGAUCGGAGGUGGAAAGCUCCGGCGGAGAAGGAUGAGCUCGCGGCCUAUCAGCUUAGUUGGUGUGGGUAAUGGCCCACCAAGGCGACGACGGGUAGCCGGCCUGAGGAGGGUCGACCCGGCCACACGUGGGACUGAGACACGGCCCAGACCUCCGUACGGGAGCAG
rnacentral:rRNA from 1 species